CCUACGGGUGGCAGCAGUGAGGAAUAUUGGUCAAUGGACGCGAGCCUGAACCAGCCAAGCCGCGUGCAGGAAGACGGCCCUAUGAGUUGUAAACUGCUUUUGUACGAGGGUAAACGCAGACACGCGUACCUGUUUGAAAGUAACGUACGAAUAAGGAUCGGCUAACUCCGUGCCAGCAGUCGCGGUAAUACGGAGGAUUCAAGCGUUCUCCGGAUUUGUUGGGUUUAAAGGGUGCGUAGGCGGUCUGUUAAGUUAGAUGUGAAAUCCUGAGGCUCAACUUCGGAAUUGCCUUUGAUACUGGUCGUCUAGAGGGUAGUUGCGGUAGGCGGAAUGUGUGGUGUAGCGGUGAAAUGCUUAGAGAUCAUGCAGAACACCGAUUGCGAAGGCAGCUUACCAAGCUACGUCUGACGUUGAGGCACGAAAGCGUGGGGAGCAAACAGGAUUAGAUACCCUUGUAGUC
rnacentral:rRNA from 1 species